CCGUUGGUGGACCUUCAUUUCUUGAAGCUUUGGUGUCUCGUGCAAAUAUUUUGUAGGACAACUUUUUUCCUUCUAGCUGUUGUAAAAGCUUGUUAACUUUGCAUAUAUUGAAUGUUGUAGGCUUAUUCGCACCUUCGAGCUCACAUUUGUCGCUAGUAAUAGAUUUAUCCCCAUUCUCCCUACUAGUGAAUUCACCACAUCCAUAUCUUUGUUUAUCAUAUUUUUCAUCAGUAGUAAAAUUUUCAAGAUCCUCCCUCUCUUCUCCAUCAUUAAGUGGAAAAAUAUACAAAUAGCGCCUCCAUUUGGCAGAAAAAUUAGGAUGGAAUACACGUGAAACCUCAGAAACGGAUAUAACCCUAAGUUUUCCGGGUGCUGAACUAUUGAUGGCAUCUUCAAUUUCAUGAGGUCUAACAUCCUUUCUCCAAGUAUAGAACGAACAAAUUUGUCGAAGAGCUGAGACACCUUUGUCCGUGCGCCCAGCUACCACAGCACAACCUUCAAGGGGUUUACACUUGUCCUUUAGUUGUUGAGAUUUCUUCUCAUCAAUAAAUCUCCCAAGCGACCUUUCUACUAAGCCCUGGACAGUGUUCAAGCCAGGCUGUUUCUGCCACCCAUCAAAUGAUCCCCCGUUAUAUGAAAGAACUAUCUUGAAUGUUACUCUUGCCCACCUACCAAACUUUUCUUUAUUUGAAGAAUCGUCUAAUUGAGUCUUACAGGAGAUCUCUUGAAUUUUUACAUCAUCAUGAACAAAAGGCAUCUGAGUUCCAAACAACUCUAACAAUGACGAGUGCCCGUUCACCACAUUCGAAUAAAAUUCAACAACUUCUUGCCAAGGCCUUGCAUACAUGAAUUGAAAGCUCUCCCUGGCUGUCCAUCUG
rnacentral:misc_RNA from 1 species